GUCUUUUUGGUUAUUUAAUAUAAAGUCUGACCUGCCCACUGAAUUUAUUUUGAAGGGCCGCAGUAUUUUGACUGUGCAAAGGUAGCAUAAUCAUUAGUCUUUUAAUUGAAGGCUGGUAUGAAUGGUUGGAUGAGGUACAAGCUGUGUCAUAAAAAUUAACUUUUGAAUUUACCUUUUUAGUCAAAAGGCUAAAAUGAAAUUAAAAGACGAGAAGACCCUAUAGAGCUUUAUAUAAUUUAUAUUUAAAUUAUUAAGAUUUUUUAAAUUUAAUUAUUUUAUUAUAUUUUGUUGGGGUGACAAUAAAAUUUAUAAAACUUUUAUUUUUAUUAACCAUUUAUUUAUGUUUGUAUGAUCCAGUUUUAUUGAUUAUAAAUUUAAGUUACCUUAGGGAUAACAGCGUAAUUUUUUUUGAGAGUUCUUAUCGACAAAAAAGAUUGCGACCUCGAUGUUGGAUUAAGAGUAAUUUUGGGUGUAGAAGUUCAAAGUUUAAGUCUGUUCGACUUUUAAAUUCUUACAU
rnacentral:rRNA from 1 species